rnacentral:rRNA from 1 species
UACGGAGGGGGCAAGCGUUGUUCGGAGUUACUGGGCGUAAAGCGCGCGUAGGCGGUGCGGUAAGUCAGGGGUUAAAGGCUGCAGCUCAACUGCAGUAAGGCCUUUGAUACUAUCGCGCUAGAGUGUCAGAGAGGAUGGCGGAAUUCCCGGUGUAGCGGUGAAAUGCGUAGAUACCGGGAGGAACACCAGUAGCGAAGGCGGCCAUCUGGCUGAUAACUGACGCUGAGGUGCGAGAGCGUGGGGAGCAAACAGU